GAGUUUGAUCAUGGCUCAGAACGUACGCUGGCGGCACGCCUAACACAUGCAAGUCGAACGAAGUAGCAAUACUUAGUGGCAGACGGGUGAGUAACAUGUAGGUAUCUGCCCUUUGGCCUGGAAUAACACGAGGAAACUUGUGCUAAUACCGGAUAAGUCUUUACGGAGAAAGCUUUAUGCACCAUUGGAUGAGCCUGCACUUGAUUAGUUUGUUGGUGGGGUAAUGGCCUACCAAGACUUUGAUCAAUAGCUGAUUUGAGAGGAUGAUCAGCCACAUUGGGACUGAGACACGGCCCAAACUCCUACGGGAGGCAGCAGUGGGGAAUCUUGCACAAUGGAGGAAACUCUGAUGCAGCGAUGCCGCGUGAGUGAAGAAGGCCCUUGGGUUGUAAAGCUCUUUCGUCGGGGAAGAAAAUGACUGUACCCGAAUAAGAAGGUCCGGCUAACUUCGUGCCAGCAGCCGCGGUAAUACGAAGGGACCUAGCGUAGUUCGGAAUUACUGGGCUUAAAGAGUUCGUAGGUGGUUGAAAAAGUUGGUGGUGAAAUCCCAGAGCUUAACUCUGGAACUGCCAUCAAAACUUUUCAGCUAGAGUAUGAUAGAGGAAAGCAGAAUUUCUAGUGUAGAGGUGAAAUUCGUAGAUAUUAGAAAGAAUACCAAUUGCGAAGGCAGCUUUCUGGAUCAUUACUGACACUGAGGAACGAAAGCAUGGGUAGCGAAGAGGAUUAGAUACCCUCGUAGUCUAUGCCGUAAACGAUGUGUGUUAGACGUUGGAAAUUUAUUAUCAGUGUCGCAGCGAAAGCGAUAAACACACCGCCUGGGGAGUACGACCGCAAGGUUAAAACUCAAAUGAAUUGACGGGGACCCGCACAAGUAGUGGAGCAUGUGGUUUAAUUCGAAGAUACGCGCAGAACCUUACCAACACUUGACAUGUUCGUCGCGACUUUAAGAGAUUAAAGUUUUCGGUUCGGCCGGACGAAACACAGGUGCUGCAUGGCUGUCGUCAGCUCGUGUCGUGAGAUGUUGGGUUAAGUCCCGCAACGAGCGCAACCCUCACUUUUAGUUGCCAUCAUUAAGUUGGGCACUCUGAAAGAACUGCCAGUGAUAAGCUGGAGGAAGGUGGGGAUGACGUCAAGUCCUCAUGGCCCUUACGUGUUGGGCUACACACGUGCUACAAUGGUAUCUACAACAGGAAGCAAGACGGCGACGUUAAGCAAAUCCUUAAAAGAUACCUCAGUUCGGAUUGCACUCUGCAACUCGAGUGCAUGAAGCUGGAAUUACUAGUAAUCGUGGAUCAGCGUGCCACGGUGAAUGCGUUCCCGGGUCUUGUACACACCGCCCGUCACACCAUGGGAGUUGGUUCUACCUUAAGGCAAGGUUUCAAACCCUUGACCACGGUAUAGUCAGCGACUGGGGUGAAGUCGUAACAAGGUAACC
rnacentral:rRNA from 1 species